UCUCCGUAGGUGAACCUGCGGAGGGAUCAUUAACACGUUCCAUACCAACGAUCAACCCACUGUGAACCACACGUACCUGCCUCGACGGUGCCCAGAGCGACGCAACAGUGUGUGCCGAGAUCCAGGAUGAAGGUGAGUCGCGCAGAUCAAAAGACCGCGUGUUCGAGGUGUUUUGACGCGCGAUUCAUACGGGUCUAGCACACUAUAUGGCUUGUUGCCGGUAUGCCUGUAAAGCAUAGCCAGCAUGACAACUGUCGCCGCCUUGGGAGCGAGGCCCAACCAUAUUUAUAUGCGAUCAGCGGUGGGUCAUCGACCGCCGCAUCGUGUAUCCCCACGCCCUCUCUGCUGGCUGCUGCUCUGUAACAGUGCAGUGGCUCAGAGAGUCAAUAGUUAUACUUGAUCUCUCCAUACAGUGCGGCGAUGACGGUCUUGUCAUUGUCUGUCACAGUGAAAUCAAUGAACCAUGAACAACUCUUAGCAAUGGAUAUCUUGGUUCUC
rnacentral:misc_RNA from 1 species